UAACAGUGACACACUUCCUCCAAGAAGG
rnacentral:piRNA from 1 species